CACGUAGGGCGCAAGCGUUGUCCGGAAUUAUUGGGCGUAAAGAGCUCGUAGGCGGUCCGUCACGUCGGGAGUGAAAACUUGGGGCUUAACCCCAAGCCUGCUUCCGAUACGGGCGGACUAGAGGUAGGCAGGGGAGAACGGAAUUCCUGGUGUAGCGGUGAAAUGCGCAGAUAUCAGGAGGAACACCGGUGGCGAAGGCGGUUCUCUGGGCCUUACCUGACGCUGAGGAGCGAAAGCGUGGGGAGCAAACAGG
rnacentral:rRNA from 1 species